rnacentral:lncRNA from 1 species
ACUGGGAAAACAUGGCGGAGUCGGCUGGCGUUAAGUUGCUUUUUGGCAAAGUUGGGCGGCGAGAUUGUUUUUGGUGAUUUGGAUUAGAAAGCUGCAGGAGGGUCAUCGCUUAGUAAUUUAGGGUUAAGAGUACAGAAGCUAUGUCUUCCGUUGGUCGCAUGCCAUUUGAGUUCCUUUUUAUUUCCUCGAGUUUUAUUUGUUGGUUAUUCAUGGCUAGGUCUGUUCGCUCCUCACGUUCUCUCCUAAUCUCAGUAACUUUGUUAACCUUUCAUUUUCAAGUAAUUCACAGUUACAGAAAUAUUGCUAAACUAGUACAAAUAAUUCCCACAAACCCUUCUAGAUUCCACAAAUGUUAACGUUUUGCAUGUGCUAUAUCAUUUGAAAGGAAAUUGCCGACAUGAUGUCCUUCUAUCGCUACAUUUUUUUUUUUUUAAAGACGGAGUCUCGGUCUGUUGCCCAGGUUGGAGUGCAGUGGCGGGGGCUUGGCUCACCGCAACCUCCGCCUCCCGGGUUCAAGUGAUUCUCCAGCCUCAGCCUCCCAAGUAGCCGGGACUACAGGCGCGCGCCACCAUGGCCGGCUAAUUUUUUUGCAUUUUUAGUAGAGACAGGGUUUCACUAUGUUGGCCAGGCUGGUCUCGAACUCCUGACCUCGUGAUCUGCCUCCCUCAGCUUCCUAAAGUGCUGGGAUUACAGGCGUGAGCCGCCGUGCCUGGCGUUACAUUCUUUUAUAGAGACAGGGUCUCCCUCAGUCGCUCAGGCUGGAGUGCAGUGGCGCGAUCAUGGUUCCCUGCAGCCUCUAACUUCUGAGUGAAGACGAUCCUCUCGUCUCGGCCUUCCAAAGUGUUGGGAUUACCGGCGUGAGCCACCAUGCCCAGCCUAUCUAUACGUUCUUAAAAUGUGUAUUUCCUAACAACAGAGAGAUUCUCUUAUGUCAUCAGUACACUUAUCAAAAUCAGGAAAUUGAUAUUGCAAUAGUACUAUUAUCUAACCUUCAGUCCUUAUUCAAAUUUAUAAGUUGUUGCUCCUAUGUUCCUUGGAGCAAAUGGGAAAAAAAAUUGUUUUUCCAGGCUCUUGAUCUAAUGGAGGAUUACAAAUUGCAAUUAUUUAUCAGGUCUCUAGUCUUUAACUGAUAGUUUUAGAUUUAACUGUUAAAUUUGUAACAUGGGUUUGUUGGAGUUUUCCUCAUUGGAUUCAGAUAGUGAAUUUUUGGUAGAAAUGCUAUGUCCUUGGUGCAUCACAUCAGAAUACAUUCUCUCUCUCUUCACUCUCUCUCUCUCUAUAUAUAUACGCACACACAAACACUUUUUUUUUUCUUUCUUUUUUUGAGAUGGACUCUCCCUCUGUCACCCAGGCUGGAGUGCAGUGGUGCGAUCUCGGCUCACUGCCACCUCUGCCUCCCAGGUUCAAGCAGUUCUCUGCCUCCCGGGUUCAAGCAGUUCUCUGCCUCAUCCUCCCAAGUACCUGGGAUUACAGGUGCCUGCCACCACGCCCGGCUAAUUUUUGUGUUUUAAGUAGAGACAGGGUUUCACCAUUUUGGCCAGGCUAGUCUUGAACUCCUGACCUUGUGAUUCACUUGCCUCAGCCUCCCAGAAGUGCUAGGAUUACAAACGUGAGCCACUGUGCUUGGCCACACACAUAUACAUUUUUUCGAAGAGAUGGGGUCUGGCUGUGUUGCCCAGGCUGGAGUGCAGUAGCUAUUCACAGGUCUGAUUGUAGCCUGCUACAGCCUUGAACUCAUGGGCUCAAGCAGUUCUGCUUCAGCCUCCAGAAUAGUUGGGACUACAGGAAUACACCACCACACAUGGGUUCCCAAUAUUGUGGUGGUAUUUUAUUCUUUAGAUUUUUACCCAGGCCAGUGCAGAGAGGUGUUACCUUUUAUCACUUGAUUAAGGUGAUGAUCUUUGCCAUGACAGUUCCCAGAUGUAUUUCAAGCCUUUCCUCUAAGCUCUAUGCCAGCAUAUCUUCCCUGAGACUGCUCUAGCAGCCUCCUAAAUUCUGUCUUUAAUCUGUUCUCUGCUCAGCAGUUAGAGGGAUCUUUUAAGUAAGUAAAUCAGAUCACAUUAUUUCCUGUUUUUAACAGUUCGAUUGCUUUUCAUAAUAUUUGGAAUAAAAUCUCAACUUCUUACUCUGGCCUUGUAUCAUAUGCUUUAAUACCCAGAUACACCUUAUGCCAUCCCUCCUUCAUUGUGUUGAAGCCACACUGGUCUUGAAUGGGCCAAGCUCUCUCCUCCUCCAUGACCUUUAUACAUGGUGUCUCUCUUGCCAGGAAUGGUCUACCCAUUGUUAAUACUCAUCGUGUAGCAGUGCCAACUUAUCUCUUGUAUUUUUUCCUAGAUAUUUUUCUGAGAGUUAACCAGGCUACCACAUAAAAAAAGGUUAAGUCCCCACCCUUCUUUUUCUAGCUCACCUUGUUUCCCUCAGAGUUAUCACAAUUGCAAUUGUUUGACUUGUUUUGCUGCCCACGUAGGUGUUGUUUCGUUCCAGUUAGAAUAAGUUCCAUGAGGGCAGGACCUUUGCUGUCUUUUCUGUUUUAUUUUCUCACCUUAGUCUGGUAAGGGGCUCAAUAAAUAGGUAGUGAAUGAAUCAGUCUUUAGGUCUUGUUGUCUUGCUUUAUAAUUUACAAAGCAAAAGAUAUGAAUGAAGAAGAAUGUUCAUUUUAGCAUUUUUUUUGCUACUAUCUCCAAACUGGAAAUUACCCAAAGGCCCAUAAACAAGAGACUGGAUAAAUUGUGAUAACAAUCUAUAGCAACGGAGUCUACAGCAACUACAUGGAACAAUGCGGAUGAAUUUCAUAAAUAACACUAACAAAUAAGCUGACACAAUAUAUCCUGUAUGCUUUUAUUUAUAUCAAAUUCAAAACAGGCAAAACUAAUCUACAGUUCUUAUAAGUAAUGAUCAUAUUUACCUUUGGUGCAGGCAGCAGUGGCUAAAGGGGAAAAGGGGAGCUUCUGAGCUGCUGGCCAUGUUGUUUCUUCAUCUGGUGUUAACUACGGGAGUGUGUUAUUAUUUUUGUUUUAAAUUUUUUUAGAGACGGGUCUUGCUAUGUUGCCCAGGCUGAUCUGGUACUCCUGGCCUCAAGCCAUUCUCCUGCCUAAGCCUCCCGAGUAGCUGGGAUUAGGGGCACGGGCCACCCCGCCUGGCUGAAGUGUUUGCUUGUGAAAAUUCAGAGCCCUAUCCAUAUGGUUUAUGCGUUUUCUCACCAAAUGUAUGUUAACCUAAAAAGUUUUUUUUUAAUGCAGUUUCCUGGCUGUACAACCAGAGAACUUUAUUUGCAGGUCUGGUGAGGGGCAAGAAUCUGCAUAUAAAAACAAGCUCUCAAACACACUUUGAACUUCCCCGAACACAAUUUGAGAAACACUUUGGGACUCCCCCUACAGUUACAGAAUUAUUUUCUAAAGUACAUUAUCUUGUUAUAUCACUCCUGUUUAAAGUUGAUUUUUAUCCCCUAUCUUACAGGAUAUAGUCCAAACUCCCUAGUCUGGCAUUCAAGGCACUCCAAAAUCUUACUCCCAAACACCUUCCUAGCUUUUUUCUCCGACCAUUCUGCGUCUCUCAUUCCUAUUUCCCGCAGCAUUUCAUGCAGCUUGAGCCCCCUGUUUCCUAAAAUGUGCUCCCCACAAGCAUCUCGAGAUCCCCAUCCCAGGCAGCCCCAGGCAGUUUUUAAGUUUCUACCAAGCUCCACUAUACUGGCAAGGCAACUUUCCCCAAGCAAGUCUUGUUUCCUUCGGAAGGUCGCAGGCGCCCAGGAAUGAACAGGAUAACUGCUAGUGGCUCCAGAUGUCAGAAAACAGAUGACCAGAUCGAGCACGCGCAGAUCUCUGGUUGGUCGGCUGUGUGCCUCCGGAAGGCCCGCCCUGCUCGUCCAAUCACGGAGAGGGAGGGCACGUUGAGAGUGAUGCCAGGAAUCAAGAUGGCCGCCUGGGACCGCUCUCAGCCCCUUCGGCCUCUACCUGAAGAGCCACGCCCCGUCUGCUACACCCAACUGAUUGGUUCCUCAAUCACAGAGAGGAAAGGCAACAUGAGGAUGACGUCAGUUACAAAUAUGGCGUUUUGGACGGGCUCGAUAGUUUGCUUGGCCUCUACUCAAGGAAUGCUGAUGGUAUAGCAAGAAGGUAUUCUGAGCAUUAUAUCAAUGGGGAAGUUCUAGAUCUUUUGCAAAGCAGGAGGUAACUGCCCUGUUGUGAGCUCUCCGGUGGAGAGCCCCACAUGGCAAGAAAAUGAGAAGCCCCCUGAACAGACAAGAGCUGAGGCCCAGGAUACAAUAUCCUGAAAAAAACUGAAUCCUGCUGACAGUUGCCCAAGUGAAGCUGGAAGUGGAUCUUUCUGCAGUGGAUCCUUGAGAUGACUGUAGCCCUGGCUGACAACUUGAUUGCUGCCUGUGAAGGACCCUGAACCAGAGGACUCAGCGAAAUUGUGCCCAGAUUCCUGACCUACAGAGGCAGUGAGAUAAUAAAUGCUGUUGAGGUCACAAAGUUUUGAGGUAUUUGUUAAUACAGCAAUGGAUACUUAAUACAGCUUCCUACAUGGUCUCCCUCCUUCGACCUUUACACUACAAUCUGUCGUCCACACAGCAGUCAGAGAUCCUUUUAAAACAUAAGUCAGAUCAUCAUGACACUCACCUCCCUGCUAAGUGUCCUGCAAGGCCUUUCACGGUCUGAUCCCCUAUCCUUUCUCUUUCCUCAUCUCCUAUCACUCUUGCCCUUGCAAAUUUUCUUCCAGCACUCUGGCCUCCUUGCUGUUCUUCAGUAUGGCAAGCAACCUGCUGCCCGGAGCCCACACACUGACUGUCCCCUCUCCUAGGACACUCUUCCCUCAAGGGCUCCCAUAUCUUGCCUGCUGGCUCCUGCAUCUUCUUCAAGUCUGCUCAAAUGUCACCUUCUCAGUGAGGCCCAUCCUGGCUAUCCUCUUUCAGUUCUGACAGAAAAUAAUUUAUUGCUUUAUUACAUCAUUAUUUUGUUGUCUUCCCUCCGUCUGUUCCUACUAAAAUUUAAUCUCUGAGAAAGCAGAAAACGUUGUCUUGUUCUUUCCUGUAACCCAAGUGCCUUGAACAUUGCCUCAUUAAUUGCUUGCGCUCAGUAAUAUGUGUUGAAUAAAUGGGUUAAGUAGUUUAUUAAUUGUGAAACUAAAUCCUGUCUGAAAGGUUUGGAGCAGCUUGUUGAAAUAGCAAAUGGAGAUUCUGUGUUUUAAGUUGUGGCUAAGGUAGAAUCAUCCAUGAUGUAUGUGGAGCCAGCUCCUGUGUCCUGGACUUAAACAUCUGUAUCUGACGUGUGGGUAAUUAUAUUGCUAUCCUACACCUUUGACCCAUUCAUCUCGGCUCACCUGUGAUCCAGGCUAUGCUACUAAAGUUGGGUGAGAGAGUCUGCAACACAAGGAAAACAUAGAGCCAUCAUUUAGUAAAUCAAACCCAUAAUAAUACAUUUUGUUGUUAAAUGUAGCCAAUCUCUGAGUAUUUUUUAUUAAAGUAUCUCUAAUGUUUAAAAACAUCUAACACAUUCAUCAUGUUUCAACUGUCCUCAGCCCCUGCUUGGCUUCCCUCCUGUAUGUGUCAGUGCCCAAAGUCCGGAAGGGGCCAAGGUGGCAGGGGUCUGGCGUGUCAGUGCCAACCUCAGUGUGUGCCCACCUGGCUGGGCUGUGACAGUGCCCGGGUUCGGCCCCAACCUUGCUUCAUGAUUGGAGCGGGCACUGGGAGCAGGGAGAGGCCAGGCAGUGGGAGCAGACACUUCGCAGGGGGGCCUUCCUGGGCCCCCAAGAGCACAGAGAUGCCUGGGUUUGCAGCCGGGCCUGGGCAGCUGCAGUGGCACCUGGGGAGGGCAGGGCUUCUGCCUGUUCCAUGGAGUGUACAACCCCAGCCGUGCCUCCCUGCUGCAGCCGAUGUCUUGGCAGUGGCCACUCUAGAUGGGUCACUGCUGCCACCAAUAUGACAUUAAUGAAGUAGACUUAAAGUUUUCAGGGGAUUUAAUUAAUCAUGAUUUUAAGUGGUGCUAAUGUUUCUGGAAAUUUAAUCUCUUAGACUUGACUUAUUUGAACAUUCAUCAUAGAGCAAGCUAAAGUUAUUGUUUCUAAUUUACAUAAAAAUUACUACCUAUAAAACAGAAUAAUAACUUUACAAGUUGAAAUAAAAGGUUUAAGAAAAUCUAGGUUUUUAAACAUAAGACUUUAAAAAUUAAAUAUUAUUUUAAUGGCUAGUAACUGUUGAUAGUCCAUUUGUGCACAACAACCCCCCUUGGGCAUUUGAAAAUAAAAAUCUCUACUGACCAUUUUGAAAGAAUGAGUUUGAGGAUACAUCCACAGGUUGGAGCUUCAGCAUGAGCAGGACAUGGAGAGCCCAGGAAACUUGAGCGAAAUCAUAGGGUCACAUCUGAAGAAGAAGUUGAUUACAUUCAAUUCUGGUCACCUGGCCCAUUAGUGGUGGCAUCAGACCCAGAAGAGGCAUCUGGAGGGGAGUUAGUGUGCAUCAAUUUUAGCAAUGAGUUAUAGAGUCUCUCAAUAACUGUGGCUUAAACAUUUAUUUUCCUCUUUUGUGGGGGUCCUGAGCUGGCCUGGUCCCUCAGCUCAGGGACCCAGCUUACUCUCCCUACAUCCCUAACAUCCAUGAGGUGGCUCUUAUUCUCAUUACUUCAGGCCUACAGAUCCUGCCCUUACACUUUGCAGCAGGAUAAAGGAAAAGGGCAAAAGAUGGGUGUCCACUGUUCUCUCAGGAAGAGUCUUGGUUGCCAUAUCAGGACACUUCUGCUUCCUUUCCGUUGGCCAGAACUCAGCCUCAUUACCAAACCUACAAGCAAUGCUGGGAAAUUGAGUCUCCACUUCUGGUGGCUAUGAGCCUUGCUAAAAAUCAGAUAUUCUAGAACUAUUACUAUGGAAAAAAGCAAAAGUAAAUAUCAGGAAAUGGGUACUUACUACUUACACAUGUUAUGUGGGCAGCAGCAAGCUAUAGGAUGUGAAAUUUUAAAUCUUAAGACUUUAUAUGGAAAUGGCACAGUUGAAAUAGGAUGGAAAUGAUAGUCAUAAGUAGUCACUGAAAUCUAUACAGGAAAACAUAGGCUUGUUCCUGCAAUGUCACAAAACACCAGCUGGGGAUUUUGUUCAAAACCCCAAAAAUGUCAUUUUAGGGCAGAUAAGUGUUCUUUUAGAAACAGCAUUUUAGAAACAAUCAAAAAACCGCCAAACUGAGGAACAAAUUAGCCUAUGAGGAGGUAUACAUGGAAAGUAUAAAUUGGGUCUAAACCUUUUUCUCUCUUUCUGUUUCUUUCUUUGUUUCUUUGUUUGUUCUUUCUUUCUUUCUUUCUUUUCCUUUCUUUCCUUUUCUUUCUUUCUCUUUCUUUCUUUCCUUCCUUCCUUCCUUCCUUCCUUCCUUCCUUCCUUCCUUUCCUUUCCUUUCCUUUCUUUCUUUCUUUCUUCCUUUCUUUUCUUGCGAUUUUCCUGCCUCAGCCUCCCGAGUAGCUGCUAUUACGGGGGCCUGCCACCAUGCCUGGCUAAUUUUUUUUUUUUUUUUUGUAUUUUUUAGUUGAGACAGGGUUUCAGUACGUUGGCCAGGCUGGUCUCGAACUCCUGACCUUGUGAUCCGCCUGCCUCGGCCUCCCAAAGUGCUGGGAUUAGAGACAUGAGCCACCAUGCCCGGCCCUAAAACUUUUUCAUAUGCAUACAUAUUUUUUGAGAUGGAGUCUCACUCUGUCACCCAGGCUGGAGUGCAGUGGCACAGUCUUGGCUCGCUGCAACCUCUGCCUCCUGGGUUCAAGCGAUUCUCCUGCUGGGAUUACAGGCGUGCACCACCAUGCUUGGGUAGUUUUUGCAUUUUUAGUAGAGUCGGGGUUUCACCAUGUUGGCUAGGCUGGUCUCAAACUCCUGACCUCAAGUGAUCUGCCCACCUCAGCCUCCCAAAGUGCUGGGAUUACAGGCAUGAGCCACUGCACCCAGCCAAGUAUCUUUUUUUUUCUUUUUCUCUUCUUUUCUUUUUUUCUGAUGGAGUCUCACUCUGUUGCCCAGGCUGGAGUACAGUGGCUUGAUCUCAGUUCACUGCAACCUCCCCCUCCCAGGUUCAAGCGAUGCCCCUGCCUCAGCCUCCCAAGUAACUGGGAUUACAGGAAGCCACCACCACCCCAGCUAAUUUUUGGAUUUUUAGUAGAGUCUGGGUUUUGCCAUGUUGGCCAGGCUGAUCUUGAGCUCCUGACCUCAGGUGAUCUGCCCGUCUUGACCUCCCAAAGUGCUGGGAUUACAGGCGUGAGCCACCGUGCUCCGCCUAAAGCUUUUUCAUAAUUUAAUCAAUGGCAUAUUCCUAGGAGAAACCAUAAAACGUUAAAAUAAACUGCUUUGCUUACACAGAAAACAGCCUUCUUGUAUAAAAUCCUGGGCUGGAAGUUCUUGUCAACAGGUUACCCUUCUAUUUUUUAUUUUUUAUUUUUUUUUGAGACAGAGGCUCACUCUGUCACCAGGCUGGAGUGCAGUGGCAUGAUCUCAGCUCACUGCAACCUCCACCUCCCAGGCUCAAGGUAUCCUCCCACCUCAGCCUCACAAGUAGCUGGGACUACAGGUACAGCCACCAUGCCUGGCUAAUUUUUUUGGGGGUAUUUUUUUGUAGAGACGAGGUCUUGCCAUGUUGCCUAGGCUGGUUUCAAAUUCCUGGGCUCAAGCAAUCUGCCUGCCUAAGCCUCCCAAAGUGCUAAGAUUACAGGCAUGAACCACUUCGUAACCACCAUCCAGACCAAAAUACAGAACAUUUCUGUGGCCGAAUUAAGUUCCCUCUUUCUUCUUAACUUCAUUUCCUGGAGUCUACCACUAUUGUGCCUCUAUAUCACCAUAGAUUCCUCUUGUUUAUUCUUGGCCUUCAUAUAAAUUGUAUCAUACAGUAUGUAUUCUUUUGGGUCUGAUUUUUUCAGCUCAACAUUAUGUCUGUGAGAGUCAUCCAUGUUAUUCUAGGUAUUAGGAGUUCAAUCCUUUUUAUUGCUCAGUAGUAUUCCAUUGCAUGAGUGUAACACAAUUUUUUUUUUUUUGAGAUGGGUUCUCACUCUGUCCUCCAGGCUGGAGUGCAGUGGUGCAAUCAUGGAUCACUACAGCCUCGACCUCCUGGGCUCCAAGUAACCCUCCUGCCUCAGCCUUCCAAGGAGCUGGGACUACAGGCACACAUCACCACACCUGGCCAUUUUUUUUUUUUUUUUUGGUAGAGCGGGGGUCUCACUAGGUUGCCUCCCCAAGUGCUGGGAUUACAGAUAUGAGCCACCACGCAUGGCCCAGAUGUAAAGUUCUAUCAACUUCAUCAUCAUCUUUUUUUUUUAAUUAUACUUUAAGUUCUAGGGUACAUGUGCACAACGUGUAGGUUUAUUACAUAUGUAUACAUGUGCCAUGUUGGUGUGCUACACCCAUUAACUCGUCAUUUACAUUAGGUAUAUCUCCUAAUGCUAUCCCUCCCCACUCCCCCCACCCCACAACAGGCCCCGGUGUGUGAUGUUCCCCUUCCUGUGUCCAAGUGUUCUCAUUGUUCAAUUCCCACCUAUGAGUGAGAACACGCGGUGUCUGGUUUUCUGUCCUUGCGAUAGUUUGCUGAGAAUGAUGGUUUCCAGCUUCAUCCAUAUCCCUACAAAGGACAUGAACUCAUCCUUUUUAUGGCUGCAUAGUAUUCCAUAGUGUAUAUGUGCCACAUUUUCUUAAUCCAGUCCAUCAUUGAUGGACAUUUGGGUUGGUUCCAAGUCUUUGGCUAUUGUGAAUAGUGCCACAAUAAACAUACGUGUGCAUGUGUUUUUAUAGCAGCAUGAUUUAUAAUCCUUUGGGUAUAUACCCAGUAAUGGGAUGGCUGGGUUAAAUGGUAUUUCUAGUUCUAGAUCCUUGAGGAAUUGCCACACUGUCUUCCACAAUGGUUGAACUAGUUUGCAGUCCCACCAACAGUGUAAAAGUGUUCCUAUUUCUCCACAUCCUCUCCAGCACCUGUUGUUUCCUGACUUUUUAAUGAUCGCCAUUGUAACUGGUGUGAAAUAGUAUCUCAUUGUGGUUUUGAUUUGCAUUUGUCUGAUGGCCAGUGAUGAUGAGCAUUUUUUCAUGUGUCUAUUGGCUAUUUCCUUUAGAGGCUACUGAGUCACUUCAUUCUGGCUGGUCCCCUCUACACCUUCAUCACCAUCCUGGAGAUUUCCUUCCCAUUUUCUCCCAUAUUGGAUCUCCUUUUUUUCUGGAGUCGAUGCCUUUUGUUUCCUUGGUUUAGUCUCUUCUUUUGGUGGAACACACCUUCCAGUUAGCUCCCUGUAAAAGGAAGCUGUCAGAAAAUGUCUCUCUUCUAUUCUCAUACCUAAUUGAUCAUUUUUGGCUGGAUACAGAACUCUAGCUCAAACAUGAUUUUCCCUCAGAAUUUUGAAGGCAUUACUCCAUUGGCUUCUUGCUUCCAGAGUUAUUGUUGAGAAAACUAAAUCCAUUCUCAUCUUGAUCAUUUGUAUGUGGCCUGUUUUUUUUUUCUCCCUCUCUGAAAGUUUAUAAGGGGUAUUCUUUUUCUUUUUAAUGUUCUGAACUUUUAUAGCAUUGUACAUUGGUGUAAAGUAAUUUUUAUUUAUUGGGCUGGGCCCUUUCAAUCAUGUCCAUAUCCUUCUGGUCAGGGUAAAAUUUUCCAUGUAUUUCAUGGGUGAUUCUUCUUUUUGAAACUUGUGUUAUUCAGAUGGGGGUUUUGGUGGGCUAGUCUUAGAAUUUUGUCUUCUUACUCUUUUUCCCAUUUCUUUGUGUUUUUUCUUUCCUUUCUGAGGGUUUGCCUCAAUGCUAUCUUUCAACCCUUCUAGCGAGUUCUUAAUGUCUGCUAUCAUGUUUUAAAUUUCCAAGAACUGUUUCUUUGUUCUGAAUAUCUCAUCUUUCCUUUAAAAAAAAUUGUUUCUGAGCUAGAUGUGGUGGGGUGUGCCUGUAGUUCCAGCUACUUGGGAGGCUGAAGUGGGAGGCUUGGGCCCAGGUUUUCAAGGCCAGCAUGAGCAACAUAGCAAGAUCCUGUCUUAAAAAAAAAAAAAAAGAAAAAGAAAAAAAUUGUUUCUAUUUCAUUGAUGCAGUGUCCCUUAUUUUUCUUAUAAUAUUAAUGAGUUUCUUUUUUUUGUUUAAAAUAUUUUUUUCCUUGCAUAGUUUCUGUUUCUGCCAAUUCAUUUUUUCUUUUAGUUUGUUAGGCUCUUUAUCCAUAUAAUCUAGCUAAUGGGUUUUGGCAGGCUAAUGAAUAUAUAAAUUUGGAGUCAAGGGAAGAGGUUGGAGAAUAAAAAUUUUAUCCAACUCAGAGAGCUGUUAUAAAAAUUAAGUGAUGUAAUGCAUAUAAUUUGCUUAGCACAGGUCUGGAAUAUAGUAAGCAUUCAAAUGUUAGAUGUUAUUUUUUAUUUUAUUAUUUAAUGGCUGCAUCAUACUCUUUUAGCAUAGCAUAUAGAUGAACAUAAUUCACCUCGCCAUUCCUCUACUGCUAUUGAAGAUCGGGCUUACUUUUUCACUUUUUACUAUUAUAUAAAUAGGGAUUGGUAUUUUUCUGAAAGCAGCUUUAGUCACAUAUUUUUAAACUUUCAUUAUGUAAUAUAUAUUUUUUUGAGACAGGAUUUUGAUCUGUUACCCAGGCUGGAGCACAGUGGCACGAUCAUAGCUUACUGCAGCCUUGACUUCCCAGGCUCAAUCUGUUCUCCUUCCUCAGCCUUCUGGUUAAGCUGGGACUACAGGCACGUGACCCACACCCAACUAAUUAAUUUUUUUUUUUUUUUUUUUUUUUUUUUUGUAGAGGUAGGGUUUCUUUAUGUUGCCUAGGCUGGUCUCAAACUCCUGAGCUCAAGCAAUUCUCCUGUCUUGGCCUUCCAAAGUACUGGUAUUACAGGUGUGAGUUACCGUGCCCAGACUCAUUAUGGAAUUUUCAAUCAUGUACAAAAGUAAAGAAAAUGGUAUAAUAAACUCCUGCAUACCCAUUAUUUAGUUUCAACAAUAGCCAUUUUUGGUCAAGUAUCCAAAGAUGUUCAUGUUUAAUGGGCCAUCUUGUUUUAUCUAUAGUAUAUGGAUUCUAUACCAGUGCUGUCUAAUAAAAAUAUAAUGUAAACUACAAAGGAAAACCAUGUUUGUAAUUUAAAACCUAACUUAAUGUAACCUAAAAUGUUCUAGUAGCUACAUUUGAAAAAUAUGAAAGAAAGAAGUGAAAUUUAUUUAUUUAUUUAUUUAAGACAGGGUCUUACUCUAUUGCCCAGGCUGGAGUGUAGUGGUGCAAUCAUAGUUUGUUGAAGCAUCAAAUUCCUGGACUCAACCGAUCUUCCAGCCUCAGCCUCAUGAGUAGCUAGGACUAUAGGCAUGUGCCAACAGGCCUGCUAAUUUUUAAAGUUUUUGUACAGACAGAGUCUCCCUGUGUUGCCCAAGCUGGUCUGGAACUCCUGGCCUUAAGUGAUCCUCCCAUCUCACCUCAGCCUCCCAAAGUGCUGAGAUUAUAAGUGUGAGCCAUUGUGCCUGGCCUGUGAAAUUAAUUUUAAUAAUACAUUUUAUUUUACUCAAUGUAUCCAAAAUAUUGUUUUAAUAUAUAACCAGUUUCCAAGUUAUUAAUGACAUAUUUUAAUUUUUUUGGUACUAAGUCUUCAAAAUCUAGUGUGUACUUUACAUUCAUUGCAUAUCUCAACUGGACUAGCUCAAUAGCCAUAUGUGCCUAGUGGCUCCCCUAUGAGAAAAUGUGAAUAUGCUCACCAAACAGGAUUAAUGUGAAGCAGAUCCCAGACAUUAUAUCAGUGUAUCCAUAAAUAUUUCAAUAUGUAUCUGUAAUAACAAUGUCCGUAUUUUUAAAAAAGGUUUCCUUAGAAUUAAUUUUUAGAAAUACGGUUGUUGGAUUGAGGAAUGUGCACUUUUAAAAUCUUGCAGCAUAUUAUAGCUACUUUUUCGGAACGUUAGAUUAAUUUACACUCCUUUCUGGAGUGUGUGAUGGAGCCCAUGUCACCCUCAUAGAGUGUAUUUGGAUCCCUGACCAUGGUUCUGAAAUCUACAGAAAGGCAGUAAGACUUCCUCUCUGUUGUGAGAGGUCAAAUUUUGUUUUGUUUUGUUUUAAUGGCUUAAAACAAGUUUUAUUCUCUUACAGUUCUAAAGGUCAGAAGUCUGAAUUCAGUUUUACUGGGCUAAAGUCAACGUUUUGGCUUUUAGAGGUUCCUUUUGGAGACUCUGAGGGGAUAAUUUGUUUCCUUGCUUUUUCAGCUUCUCAUGGCCACCUAUGUUCCUUGACUUGCCCCUUCCUCCAUCUUUCAAGUGCAUCAUCCCAAUCUUUACUUGUAUUCAUCACACCGCCUUUUCAUCUGUGAGAAGUCAAGUUCUAGUGAUGAUUCAGAGGUGACUUUUAAGCAGAUAAGAGCAAAGGGACACAAGCAGGAACCUGCCAGACAUAGUGGUGUGUACAUGUAGUCCCAGCUACUUGGGAGGCUGAGAAGGAAGGAUUGCAUGAGCCCAGGGGUUCAAGUCCAGCCUCAGCAACAUAGACCCCAUCUCUAAAAUAAAUGAAUAAAUAAAUAAAUAAAAUAAAAUAAAAUAAAAACAUGGGCUUCUUGGAACUCUACUUUUAUUUAGAAAAGAAGAAAGCAGAUGACAGAAGAUAGAGGGAGGUAACAAUAACAAGAGAGACAGACUUCUGGGUAAAAAUGGCUGAUAAAACACAAACUGAUAUCUAAGUGCAUAUCUUCCUGAUGCCUGACUAGAACAACAGUGGGGGCUGUCCUUAAAUACUUGCCUUGUUUUCUUUCUUUCUUUUCUUUUCUUUUCUUUUCUUUCUUUUUCUUUUUCUUUUCUUUUCUUUUUUUUUUGAGAUGGAGUCUCCCUCUGUUGCCCAGGCUCGAGUGCAGUGGCACAAUCUCGGCUCACUGCAACCUCCGCCUCCUGGAUUCAAGCGAUUCUCCUGCCUCAGCCUUCCGAGAAGUUGGGAUUAUAGGCACCUGCCAUCCUGCCCAGCUAAUUAUUGUAUUUUUAGUAGAGAUGAAAUUUCACCAUGUUGGUCAGGCUGGUCUCGAACUGCUGAGCUCAGGUGAUCCACCCGCCUUGGCCUCCCAAAAUGCUGGGAUUACAGGCAUGAGCGAGCCACCACUCCUGGCACCUCGUUUGUUUUCUGUUUAAGGUGAGGGGAUAAAAAGCUGAUUGGAAGUUUUGAGUUAUUGAUUCAAGCUUCACUGUAGGAUAAUCUGACUAGCAAACUGCAAAUGCCAGCACAUUUGUGUCCUUUCUCCUGGACUUCUUGGAUUCCUCACAAAAGAAUCUUCCAAAGUCCUGACUAGAGGGUAGAGUUAACCUAGAACCUGGGAGUUGAUGGGGUUAGAGGCUUGGAGUCUAAACACUGAAUAUGCCUUGGUUUCCUUAAUCUUGUUGUUUUGGUAUGACACCUCCACCUGUAACUGUGCCUUGUGCCUUCCAGUUCCUGUGCUUGGGUUAGGAAGAGGCAGUCACUCAUCAGCAAAGAGUAGAAGGUAUCUAGGAACCACUAUUCUUUUUUUUUUUUUCUUUUCGAGAAGGAGUCUUGCUCUGUCGCCCAGGCUGGAGUGCAGUGGUGCAAUCUCGGUUCACUGCAACCUCUGCCUCCCGCGUUCAAGCGAUUCUCCUGCCUCAGCUGCCUCAGUCUCCUUAGUAUCUGGGAUGACAGGUGCUCUACCACACCUGGCUAAUUUUUGUAUUUUUAGUAGAGACAGAGUUUCACCAUGUUGGCCAGGCUGGUCUUGAACUCCUGACCUCAUGAUCCACCCGCCUCAGCCUCCCAAAGUGCUGGGAUUACAGGCAUGAGCCACUGCACCUGGCCAGAAUCACUAUUCUUAAACAGCUUUAAUUAUCUUUAUUUUGUGCUUGCCAACCCAACUUGCAGCUGUACUUGAUGCCACAGAUUCCUGAGCUUUUUGAGAACACUGCUGUUUACAUUGGUUGAUUUUUUAUUUUCUCAUUGUUUUAGGAUUGUGCUUUCUUGGGUCUGCUAAGUCAGUUACCCCUGGUCCACCAUGCCAAAAUGUUUUUGUUGUUUUCUUUUCUUCUUUUCUCUCCAUGCUUAUGGAUAUGUGCUGGUAUAAACAGUUUUUGUUUUUUUAAGAAAAUAGUCUGGAUCUUAACCUUCCUCUUACUAAACCCUCUCUCCCUGCUAUAUUCACAUGUCAUUUAAUAGCAACUCUAUCCUUUCAGUCACUCAGGCAAAAAUAUUGGAAUAACUUUUAACCCCUCUUUUUCUCUCUCACUCCAUGUACAUUCAUCAGCAAACACUGUGGGCUCUACUUUCACAUAUAUCCGGGGUCUGACCAUUGCUCACAGCCUCUACUGCUACCAACCUGAUCCAAGCCAUCAGCAUUUCUCAUCUGGAUUAUUAAAAUCACCCACCAACUGGUUUUCCUGUUUCUGCUCUUGUCUCCUUUGUUUUUUAUCACUGUAACUAGAAACAGAAGCCAGAUACCCCUCCUUUGUUCAGAACUCUAAAUGGGGCCCCCUUGCACCAUCUACUCCGUCUUAACUCCCUUACCCUAUCUCCUCCAUCUUCCAGUCAUUUAUUCUGCUCCAAUCACAAUGGCCUUUGUAUUUGUGGUCUCUUUUGCUUAGAAUGCUCUUCCUCCAGAUAUUCAAAUGGCCGACUCCUUCACAUUUUCCAAGUGUUCGUUCAGACGUCACCUUAUCUGAAAAGACUUUUCUGACCUAAUGGCGUCCCCAUCUCAUGCUCCUGGCACUUUCCUUUCCCCUUACUUUUCUUUAUAUUUCUCCAGAUCACUUAUAAUCCCCUGUACAGUGUGUAUUUAGUUGGUUAGUGUCUGUCUCCCCCACUAGAACGUUGGCUCCCUGAAGGCAAGGACUUUGUCUACAUUGUUAAUUGGUGGAGUUAUGCCACCUACACAGGAUCUUACUCAGAGGAUGAAUUCAAUCAAUAUUAGUUGAAUGAACAAAUGAACAAGCAGUUGAAUUGAAUGGCUGUAUUAAAGGAAACUGAGGCAUAGAAAACUUAAGAUUUUUAGACAAAGAUCACACAACAAUGAACAGCAGAACUAGGAUGUGUGAACCAGGUUUUUGUGAUGUGAAAGCCUGAGUUCUUAAUCAUUUUGUUUGAUAUUUGGGAAUAAUUUUUAAUGAGAUCUGAAAAUGCUAAUGGUAUAAUGCUGUGAACGAAGGAAAUAUAAAAUUGUAAUUCCAGCAUGAUCUUAACUAUGUACAAAUAU